rnacentral:rRNA from 1 species
UGAACGCUGGCGGCGUGCCUAAUACAUGCAAGUCGACGAAGCGAGAUCCAGCUUGCUGGAUUAGCGAGUGGCGAACGGGUGAGUAAUACGUAAGCAACCUGCCUACACGGACUGGGAUAACACCUGGAAACGGGCGCUAAUACCGGAUAGGUAACGAGAGGGCAUCCUCUUGUUAUUAAAGGUUUGAAACACAAGUAGAUGGGCUUACGGUGCAUUAGCUAGUUGGUGAGGUAACGGCCCACCAAGGCGAUGAUGCAUAGCCGGCCUGAGAGGGUGAACGGCCACAUUGGGACUGAGACACGGCCCAGACUCCUACGGGAGGCAGCAGUAGGGAAUUUUCGGCAAUGGGCGCAAGCCUGACCGAGCAACGCCGCGUGAAGUGAUGAAGGUUUUCGGAUCGUAAAGCUCUGUUGUAAGGGAAGAAUGGCGCGGAUAGACUCCGCGAUUGACGGUACCUUACCAGAAAGCCACGGCUAACUACGUGCCAGCAGCGGC